CGCACUUCAAUAGUUUUUAGGUUGUUUUAAGCUUUAAGUAUGCAUUUUAAAACAUUUUCAUUCCCACCUGCAUAAGUUUUUGUAGUAAAAAUUUAACGUAAAACACUAGUGACUUCGCACUUGACUUACUUUAAAAUGUCUUCAAAAUAAACCAAGAUUCGAGAGAUCCACAUUUCCACGGCCUCAGCCCUGAGGCAGCCUGCCUCCUCAAGCAACAGCUGGGCUUGGUGCUCUUCCCAGAUCCACCACGGUUGCUCCUCACUUCACGAGCAGCACCUCCUCACUAGAUGCCACUGCCCUAAACCUGUGUUAAACCCUACAGCUCCUCCUUCCCCAAAAUCGGCUCUUCCUUCCUCCACUGAAUCCCCAACAGGAUCUAACCCUAGGGCGAUGACUACUGUCG
rnacentral:lncRNA from 1 species